GACGAACGCUGGCGGCGUGCUUAACACAUGCAAGUCGAACGGUGAAGCGCCUUCCUUUUUGGUGGGUGUGGAUGAGUGGCGAACGGGUGAGUAACACGUGAGUAACCUGCCCCCUUCUUCUGGAUAACCGCAUGAAAGUGUGGCUAAUACGGGAUAUUCUGGGUCUGUCGCAUGAUGGGUCUGGGAAAGAUCUUGUUUCGGUGGGGGAUGGGCUCGCGGCCUAUCAGCUUGUUGGUGGGGUGAUGGCCUACCAAGGCGGUGACGGGUAGCCGGCCUGAGAGGGUGGAGGGUCAGACUGGGAGUGAGACCCGGCGCAGACUGCUACGGGAGGCAGCAGGGGGGAAUAAUGCACAAUGGGCGAAAGUCUGCUGCAGCGGCGCCGCGUGAGGGAUGGAGGCUUGCGGGUUGUGAACCUCUUUCGCCAGUGAAGCAGGCCUGCCUCGUUUGUGGGUGGGUUGACGGUAGCUGGAGAAGAAGCGCCGGCUAACUACGUG
rnacentral:rRNA from 1 species